UUACAUUUUUUAACUGUUACUCUUCUUUGAUGUUUGCAUUUUAGAGGAUGGCUUGAAUUCUCAUGCCUAAUGAUAAAAUCGUUAAAU
rnacentral:sRNA from 1 species